rnacentral:lncRNA from 1 species
UUUAGUGGGUUUAUCCUUGAUAUGUUCAUCUUAACCGAUGACGUAUAUCCUCCUUAACAUCCUCAGGCAACUCUAUCCUUGAUAUGUUCAUCCUAACCGAUGACAAAUUUUCUUUCCUUUGAGUCUAUCCUUGAUAUGUUCAUCUUAUUCGGUGACGAAUAUUCUCAUCUUUGGUUUUCUGCCCAGUAAUUGGUAGUUGUAAAUCCUAUUUCUA